UACGUAGGGUGCAAGCGUUAAUCGGAAUUACUGGGCGUAAAGCGUGCGCAGGCGGUUAUGUAAGACAGUUGUGAAAUCCCCGGGCUCAACCUGGGAACUGCAUCUGUGACUGCAUAGCUAGAGUACGGUAGAGGGGGAUGGAAUUCCGCGUGUAGCAGUGAAAUGCGUAGAUAUGCGGAGGAACACCGAUGGUGAAGGCAAUCCCCUGGACCUGUACUGACGCUCAUGCACGAAAGCGUGGGGAGCAAACAGG
rnacentral:rRNA from 1 species